rnacentral:tRNA from 1 species
GUAGCUUAGUUGGUAAAGCGCUCGUUUUGCAUACAAGAGUCGUGGGUUCACAUCCUACC